rnacentral:tRNA from 2 species
GCGGGUGUAACUCAAUGGCAGAGUUCUAGCUUCCCAAGCUAGCUACGAGGGUUCGAUUCCCUUCACCCGCUCCA